CCGUAUAAAUGAUACUGAACUCAAAUUUAUUUUAACCCUACAAAGCUGUCAACAACAACGGAAAUGUGCAUCCAUUGCAUGAAACUUAAAUCGGCGGAAUUCUUUUGAAGUAGAACCAAUGCAAGUUCACCGGGGGACAGUUUUCGCUGUAACACCAGUUGUAAGGGUGAGCUAGGACCCUUAAAAAACUAAAGUGUGUGAAGUUAUAGGCCACUUAUGCUCUGUGGGGUUAAAGUGUGAGUAUGGACGUUAGUGUAGCAGCGGGCUGUGAGGAAAUUAACCAAGGAGGAAGUGCAUCCGAGGAGGGAAAUGUGCUAAAUACGACUAAAAGCUUGACUCGCUGCGUUCAUAUCGGCCUUCCUGACCCACUUACACGAACGGUGAAGCGCUCUUUGAUAAAAGGAAAUUAUCUUUACUUCCAUUAUGGCUGCGAUGGACUAGAUGACAGAGGCUGGGGAUGCGGCUACCGCACCAUUCAGACCAUGGUUUCUUGGCUUUGCUUUAACUGGACCUCCAAGACCGGAAACACGCCCCCGAGUCUCCCAGAAAUGCAGCAAGCCCUGGUGGCGGUGGGCGACAAGCCAGCCUCGUUCUCGGGCUCCAGGGACUGGAUCGGAACAUUUGAAGCCUCCUUGGUCCUUGACUAUCUCUACGAUGUUCCCUGUAAGCUGGUGCAUAUUAGAGGCGGAGGUGCAGAGCUGGAGCAGGUCGCAGUGGAAGAGCUUCAUCGGCACUUUGAGAAGCACGGAUCUCCAGUCAUGAUGGGAGGGGACAGGGACAACUCCUCUAAGGGGGUUCUAGGGGUGUGCACCGGGGACCAGGGAAGCUACCUGCUGGUCAUCGACCCUCACUAUUAUGGAUAUGAGCUAGACAAGACUGAGCUGCAAAGGCGAGGGUGGGUGGCGUGGAAAAGAGUGUCGUCCCUGGAUCAGUCUUCAUUUUAUAAUCUGUGCAUGCCGCAGACUGCCAAAUAACCAUGACUGUACCGUGACGACCCAUCAUCUUAAGGGGAGCUGUGGUGCCAUCUUCUGGAUGAAAUCAUCAAUUACCAUUCGACAUAUUUGAUGUAAUUUAAAUGAGGCUCUCCAGCUUCUUCAGAGGGACUUCCACCACACUGUGAUGAGCCUGCUCGUUCAGCGCGUAGCCCCCAUAACUGGGGAACAUGAACCUCACCUCGUACGGCGAAUUGCGGUCAAACCAUGGGCAGCA